GGAUAGGUGGGUGACCUGGCUGCAAUAUAUUCAAUCCCACCGAAUGACAGCAUAGAUUUAACUGAUCUGGCUGGCUAGGAAGGUGUCUUCUCCCUCCCUCAUGUUUAAUAUGUGUCCCUGGUUGAACAGGAUGAACUUCUGUGAAUAGAGAUGGAUUGCUUCUCUGUGAAGAAUAGUAUUUGAGUAGCUGCUGUCCCCUGUUAGAACCUCCAGACAAACUGUCAAGGUCCGUAGCUUUCUUAACUAAUCAUUUGUCAUUGCUUCCAAGUUUGUUCUAGUCUAACUAGUACUGUUGUAAAC
rnacentral:snRNA from 1 species